UAAUACAGAGGUCUCGAGCGUUAGUCGGAAUCAUUGGGCUUAAAGCGUACGUAGGCGGAUAUGCAGGCGUCGUGUGAAAGCCCUCGGCUCAACCGAGGAACUGCACGGCGAACCGCAUGUCUUGAGACAAGUAGGGGCUGUCGGAACGAUAGGUGGAGUGGUGAAAUGCGUUGAUAUCUAUCGGAACGCCGAUGGUGAAAACAGACAGCUGGGCUUGUUCUGACGCUGAGGUACGAAAGCGUGGGGAGCGAACGGGAUUAGAUACCCCGGUAGUCCACGCCGUAAACGAUGUGCACUAGAUCGAGGAGGAUCUGAUUCCAUUCUCGGUCGAAGUAAAAACGUUGAGUGCACCGCCUGGGGAGUACGGUCGCAAGGCUA
rnacentral:rRNA from 1 species